rnacentral:rRNA from 1 species
AUGAACGCUGGCGGCGUGCCUAAUACAUGCAAGUCGAGCGAACGGACGAGAAGCUUGCUUCUCUGAUGUUAGCGGCGGACGGGUGAGUAACACGUGGAUAACCUACCUAUAAGACUGGGAUAACUUCGGGAAACCGUAGCUAAUACCGGAUAAUAUUUUGAACCGCAUGGUUCAAAAGUGAAAGACGGUCUUGCUGUCACUUAUAGAUGGAUCCGCGCUGCAUUAGCUAGUUGGUAAGGUAACGGCUUACCAAGGCAACGAUGCAUAGCCGACCUGAGAGGGUGAUCGGCCACACUGGAACUGAGACACGGUCCAGACUCCUACGGGAGGCAGCAGUAGGGAAUCUUCCGCAAUGGGCGAAAGCCUGACGGAGCAACGCCGCGCGAGUGAUGAAGGUCUUCGGAUCGUAAAACUCUGUUAUUAGGGAAGAACAUAUGUGUAAGUAACUGUGCACAUCUUGACGGUACCUAAUCAGAAAGCCACGGCUAACUACGUG